rnacentral:rRNA from 1 species
UAGGGAAUCUUCCACAAUGGGCGAAAGCCUGAUGGAGCAACGCCGCGUGAGUGAAGAAGGAUUUCGGUUCGUAAAACUCUGUUGUAAGGGAAGAACAAGUACAGUAGUAACUGGCUGUACCUUGACGGUACCUUAUUAGAAAGCCACGGCUAACUACGUGCCAGCAGCCGCGGUAAUACGUAGGUGGCAAGCGUUGUCCGGAAUUAUUGGGCGUAAAGCGCGCGCAGGCGGUCCUUUAAGUCUGAUGUGAAAGCCCACGGCUCAACCGUGGAGGGUCAUUGGAAACUGGGGGACUUGAGUGCAGAAGAGGAAAGUGGAAUUCCAAGUGUAGCGGUGAAAUGCGUAGAGAUUUGGAGGAACACCAGUGGCGAAGGCGACUUUCUGGUCUGUAACUGACGCUGAGGCGCGAAAGCGUGGGGAGCAAACAGGAUUAGAUACCCUGGUAGUCCACGCCGUAAACGAUGAGUGCUAGGUAGCGGCCGGAUCCGACCGGUCGCUGCUGACGG